rnacentral:tRNA from 1 species
AAGAUUUUUGAAAGCUGCUAACUUUUAAUAUAGCGAAUAGCUACUUU